rnacentral:lncRNA from 1 species
AUUUAGGAAAAUAUUAAAGCAAAAAUCGAACGAAUCAAAAAUGAAAAAAAAAAAAAAAACUUGGACUUGCGUCAAAAUCGACUUAAUCGGAAAUGUUGGAACGGAACCCCGUCGUAAGUCGAGGAUUAUCUGUGAUCAUUUACAAUUUGAUAUAAGACAAAAUUUUACUAAGAAUUAUUCUUACUCGACCAUCCUCUAAUAACAAAAAAGAUUAAUACGACUAAGUUAACUGUACUGUUUAGUUUAGUUUAGUUUUUUAAUAAUCUUUUUAGAAUUUGAACAUGUUAAUUUAGAUUUUGUAUGUGAAUUGAUUUUGAUUUUGCUAUAUAACUAAUUAGGAAAUAUUCUGUCGUAUGUAUUAUACUUGUUAUCGAAUUUAGUUCAGUGUUAAUAAUUAUUUAAAUAUAUUCUUCAAAUGAUAGAUUUGUUACUACAAAAUCUUUAUCCAUUACCAUUUAAAUUAUACAAACGAUAAAAAUCAUUUAUUGAACUGAAAAAGGAGCUCAUGCUUGAGAGAAAAUGUUUCAAUUUUUAAAUUAUUUUAGAGAAAAUUAAAAAUUCUUUAAAAAUAUCGAAGUUCACACAUACAAUGAAGUUUACAAAAGUGAGACAUUAAACUAUGUAAGUCUAUAUUUUAAAACUUGUAAUUGUAAGACGGUGAAGACGCAAACGAAGAUAUUAAAAAAUGCAAUAGUUAAUAAUAUAGUGCAAACAAAUGCAAAAAAAAAAAAAAAAAAAACUUAAAAUUUUAGAUAUGGGUGCUAACUUUACGCCAGAAAUUAUGAAAAGCAAUAACUGUGUUGAUAUUUUAACAGGAGACUAAAACGGAGGAAAAAUUGGAUAUGUGGUAACUUCUGAAAAAUUCUUUCGGUUUCUAAAAAUAAAGAAUCCUGAUCUGUAUCUGAAAUUUUAAACUGCGUAACUUUGGAGAAAGUUCUUAUAUUAUUUUAAUAUUAUUGGAAAGAAAAUUGUCUAUUGAAAAGUCGUGGCCACAAAAUUCAGUAAAAUGUUUGAUGCCGAUGUAAAAAGCAAACACUGCUUGGAAUUGUUUCUUUCUUAUAUUUAUCUGCUUUUCAUGAUAUUGAAUACAAAGCAGCGGACUACCAUGAACUAAAAGAAAAUUAUCCUUAAACUGGUGUGCUAGAAAUAUGAAAUAUUUACAUGAAUUUAAUUUAUUAGAACUACAAUAUAAAGCAGAUAAAAUUUGAAGCGAAUGAUUAGGUAAUUUAUUAUAUUUACUUUAGUUAUGUAUAAUUUUUGCAAUUUUAUGGAUUUUAUUUGGUACUACCAUCUAAAUUUCAACAUUUGCUAAUCCAGUCAACGACUAUCUUAUAUUGGAUAGUAUUACAUUACAUUAAUAAAAGAUAGUUAUUACUUCAGUUUCAAUGAUAACUCAUGUUUCGUUGGGAUGGUAACAAUUAACUUUACAGGCGAUUUAGUUGUCGAGCGGAGACAGUUAAGUCAGGAUUUCUGACAUCAGGUUGAUAACUUACCGCAUUCACACCAAAUGAGCUUUUUAAAAUUAAUGACCAAAAAUUUUAGUGAAGACGGGUGGAAAUACCUGGCAAUCGGAUGCUGAUUGAACCAUGUUGAAUAUACGCGGGAAUAAAGAAAACUAUGUUAAUAUAUUAAAAUAAGCAGAUUGGCAUAUACAGCAUUCAAAUUGACUUAUUUUUACUCAGAAGGAAGAAAUUUUUGCAUAUUAAAUAAUUGUUUAUUUACAUAUGACAGAUGUGCCCCCAGUUUAACGCAAUAAGUGAAGUUUUCAAUGAAGCAUUUUUUUAUUUGAAAUUUUCCAGGCUUUCAGUUUUACAAAAAUAGUAAUUAACACUCAAAACUAAAAUAAUUGGCUUAUCAAAUUUUCAGACUGAUUAAACUAUUUUUCAUGUGAAGAUUCAUAUAUGUGUUUUUCAUUUGCAUUAUUAUGCCUGCUUUCAACCAUAUCUCUGCGCACUUUUCAGCAUCAAAAUUUUGCAAUGUUAGCCCAUUAAUGCAUAUGAACAUCAUUGUUUCCAAAAUGUCAAUCUUUAAUUUAUAUCAUAAUUCCGAAAUUUGCAAAUUCGUUGUAGAAAAAUCUCUUUCACACUCAUUAGAUGAUAUCGCAAUUAUAUUAAUUUCGAAUCAAGCAUAUUCAUAUUCAAGUUUUAUUGUAUUCAGUUCUAGAAACGAGAAACUUACUUGUUUUUUUGGGAGGAAUGAGUAAGAUCAUUUAGAGAGAGGGGUAAAAAUUUAAGAAGCAGGAAAAUUCCUUCUAAUUCCACCAUAAUUUAAACGCUGGACCUAUAUAAUAUAAAUUAUUCGAUUAAUAUACACAUCUCUAUUUUCAUUCUUUUAGUAUGUAACACUAACAUUAGCAUCUGAAACUGAAUCGAAAAAUCAACGAAACAACUAAACAAACUUCUGUCCUUAAAUGGAGAUUGUGCCCUCUAAUUCAAACAAUACUUUUGAGAGAAUGUAGUGAGUAGGCCUACUUAAUCUUUCGUUAUCUUUUUCUCACACUAUAUUUUUAAAGAUUUAACAAGAUACUUGUAAUAAUAAAUAGGAGAAAAUACAUCGAAACAGAACAAUGGACACGCAUAAGUUGCUCAGGCUGUUUUCGUUUUUUCGGAAACUAUACAGGGUGUUUCCAA